AUUGAACGCUGGCGGCAGGCCUAACACAUGCAAGUCGAGCGAGCAGCGGACGGGUGAGUAAUGUAUGGGGACUGCCCGAUAGAGGGGGCUAACUACUGGAAACGGUAGCUAAUAACGCAUACUAUCGGAUAACCCAUAUUGGAUUAGCUAGUAGGUGAGGGAAUGGCUGACCUAGGCGAAGAUCCCUAGCUGGACUGAGAGGAUGAUCAGCCACACUGUGACUGAGGCACGGCCCAGACUCCGACGGGGGCAGCAGUGGGGAAUAUUGCACAAGGGGCGAAAGCCUGAUGCAGCCAUGCGGCGUGUAUGAAGAAGGCCCGAGGGUUGUAAAGUACUUUCAGUCGGGAUGCGUUACCAACAGAAGAAGCACCGGCUAACUCCGUGCCAGCAGCCGCGGUAAUUC
rnacentral:rRNA from 1 species